GUGUUCGUCCCGUUCGCUUUUGAUACCUUUGGGGCUCUCGCCCCUGACGUGGUGCAGUUCCUCAAGCAGGUUCAGCAAGUGGUAAGCAGUAACACCGUUCAUGUUAAGGGGCAGAAUUUUGUGUUGAGCAAGGAAAAGGAGGAAACUGAUGAUUCAUGUGAAGAAAUGGGGAUCAAUGAGAGGACGUUACGGCUAGAGUACACAUCAGUAAAUCACCUGCCUGGAUUACUUUACACUGCUAUAAUUAUUUGAAAUUAUAUGUACAUGCUACAAUGUAUACAUCUCUGAGCAUACGUAUAUAGCCCACGUAUUGCAGCUCAGAAUCUUGAAUAAACAACGAGAUAAUCCUUGUAUGAA